rnacentral:lncRNA from 10 species
CAGUGAGCUGAGAUUGUACCACUGCACUCACUCCAGCUGGUGUGACAAAAGAAGAGGUUUCACCAUGUUGGCCAGACUGGUCUCGAACUCCCAACCUCAGGUGAUUCGCCUGCCUCGGCCUCACAAAGUGCUGGUAUGCAUCUGUUCUUAUGCCAGAACUACACUGUUUUGACUAUGUAGUUUUGUAGGAAGUUUUGAAAUCAGAAAGUAUGAAUCCUCCAGCUUUGUGCAUCUUUUCAAAGACUGCUUUGGCUAUUUGGGGUCCUUUAAUAUUCCAUAUGAAUUUUCAGAUGGGUUUUUCUGUUUCUGUAAAAAAUGUGAUUGGGACUUUGGUAAGGGGCGCAUUGCAUCUGUUGAUCACUUUGGGUGGAAUUGUCAUCUAAACAUUGUCCCAAUCCAUGAACAUGAAUGUCUUUCUGUAGGUGGGUUAUUAAAAAAAAAAAACUACCUAUGUGAAAAUGAUACUUGUAUAUUAAUAAAAAGUCAAAUAAUAUAGCAAUGUACAAAGGAAGAAAGAACACAUUACUCCAGAUCUCACUACUCAUUGAUAACCACUGUUAAGUUUCUGGUGAACAUCUUUCUGAGCACCUCUCUUACAAUUUUACAUAAAUAGGAUCCAUUUGUCUCCCAUUUAAUAUGUAAUAGUUGUUUUCUGAUGUCAAUGACUAGAUUUAAAUUAUGUUUGUCUCAUCAUUUACUUAAGCAAACUUACCCUGAUAGACAUUUAAUUUGUUGUCUGUGUACUGUGAGUAAUUUUUAUUAAUAUCAUAGUAUUAAUGGCCAUCCAUAGCUAUUGUGGACUAGUUUCUUCUCUGUCCUAGUAGACCUUUAAAAAGUUUAGGGAAAACUGUAUAAUUUUGAAUGCUUAAUGUUGUUGCUUUUGAAUAAAGAAAAGUACAAAGUUUUUCAUCUAAUCAGUUCCUGCAUAUCUGAUGUACUGUAAUGCAUAAAUAAUAGAUCUUUGGUGUGAUAAUUUGUGAAGCAAUAAAGGGCAGAGAACCAGA